UACGUAGGGUGCAAGCGUUGUCCGGAAUUAUUGGGCGUAAAGAGCUCGUAGGCGGUUUGUCGCGUCUGCUGUGAAAACUCGGGGCUUAACCCCGGGCCUGCAGUGGGUACGGGCAGACUAGAGUGCGGUAGGGGAGACUGGAAUUUACGGUGUAGCGGUGAAAUGCGCAGAUAUCGGGAGGAACACCAGUGGCGAAGGCGGCGCUCUGGGCCGGUACUGACGCUGAGGAGCGAAAGCGUGGGGAGCGAACAGG
rnacentral:rRNA from 1 species